rnacentral:rRNA from 1 species
CACGUGGUAUCCUGUCUGAAUAUGGGGGGACCAUCCUCCAAGGCUAAAUACUCCUGACUGACCGAUAGUGAACCAGUACCGUGAGGGAAAGGCGAAAAGAACCCCGGCGAGGGGAGUGAAAAAGAACCUGAAACCGUGUACGUACAAGCAGUGGGAGCACGCUUAGGCGUGUGACUGCGUACCUUUUGUAUAAUGGGUCAGCGACUUAUAUUCUGUAGCAAGGUUAACCGAAUAGGGGAGCCGAAGGGAAACCGAGUCUUAACUGGGCGUUAAGUUGCAGGGUAUAGACCCGAAACCCGGUGAUCUAGCCAUGGGCAGGUUGAAGGUUGGGUAACACUAACUGGAGGACCGAACCGACUAAUGUUGAAAAAUUAGCGGAUGACUUGUGGCUGGGGGUGAAAGGCCAAUCAAACCGGGAGAUAGCUGGUUCUCCCCGAAAGCUAUUUAGGUAGCGCCUCGUGAAUUCAUCUCCGGGGGUAGAGCACUGUUUCGGCAAGGGGGUCAUCCCGACUUACCAACCCGAUGCAAACUGCGAAUACCGGAGAAUGUUAUCACGGGAGACACACGGCGGGUGCUAACGUCCGUCGUGAAGAGGGAAACAACCCAGACCGCCAGCUAAGGUCCCAAAGUCAUGGUUAAGUGGGAAACGAUGUGGGAAGGCCCAGACAGCCAGGAUGUUGGCUUAGAAGCAGCCAUCAUUUAAAGAAAGCGUAAUAGCUCACUGGUCGAGUCGGCCUGCGCGGAAGAUGUAACGGGGCUAAACCAUGCACCGAAGCUGCGGCAGCGACGCUGAUGCGUUGUUGGGUAGGGGAGCGUUCUGUAAGCCUGCGAAGGUGUGCUGUGAGGCAUGCUGGAGGUAUCAGAAGUGCGAAUGCUGACAUAAGUAACGAUAAAGCGGGUGAAAAGCCCGCUCGCCGGAAGACCAAGGGUUCCUGUCCAACGUUAAUCGGGGCAGGGUGAGUCGACCCCUAAGGCGAGGCCGAAAGGCGUAGUCGAUGGGAAACAGGUUAAUAUUCCUGUACUUGGUGUUACUGCGAAGGGGGGACGGAGAAGGCUAUGUUGGCCGGGCGACGGUUGUCCCGGUUUAAGCGUGUAGGCUGGUUUUCCAGGCAAAUCCGGAAAAUCAAGGCUGAGGCGUGAUGACGAGGCACUACGGUGCUGAAGCAACAAAUGCCCUGCUUCCAGGAAAAGCCUCUAAGCAUCAGGUAACAUCAAAUCGUACCCCAAACCGACACAGGUGGUCAGGUAGAGAAUACCAAGGCGCUUGAGAGAACUCGGGUGAAGGAACUAGGCAAAAUGGUGCCGUAACUUCGGGAGAAGG